rnacentral:rRNA from 1 species
UACGGGGGGAGCAAGCGUUGUUCGGAUUUACUGGGCGUAAAGGGCGCGUAGGCGGUCGUGACAAGUCACUUGUGAAAUCUCCGGGCUUAACUCGGAACGGUCAAGUGAUACUGUCGGACUAGAGUACAGAAGGGGCAACUGGAAUUCUCGGUGUAGCGGUGAAAUGCGUAGAUAUCAGGAGGAACACCGACGGCGAAGGCAGCACUCUGGGCCGGUACUGACGCUGAGGAGCGAAAGCGUGGGGAGCAAACAGG